rnacentral:rRNA from 1 species
GUUAAUCGGAAUUACUGGGCGUAAAGCGUGCGCAGGCGGUCUUUUAAGUCAGAUGUGAAAUCCCCGGGCUUAACCUGGGAACUGCGUUUGAAACUGGAAGGCUUGAGUGUGGCAGAGGGGGGUGGAAUUCCACGUGUAGCCGUGAAAUGCGUAGAUAUGUGGAGGAACACCGAUGGCGAAGGCAGCCCCCUGGGCUAACACUGACGCUCAUGCACGAAAGCGUGGGGAGCAAACAGG